rnacentral:ncRNA from 2 species
AUUUCAUGAAGAGUGGCUGAGGGACGGGCCCUGUGACGCCACGACAACCGGCUCGAGCAAUUCGGGACAUCGGUGUCAACUCUCUCCUGCGUAACGGCGGGGAACAUGAGAU